GCCGCCAUGUGGCACCGCUAGGAACGGCCGGAAGCAGGACGCUGCGGCGACGGGGAACCGCUACCCUACAAAGUCCAGAGCUGGAGCAGCCUCUCCUCUCUCCUGCCUUGAUGUCUCGCCCCCAACAGUGAGUUUGCUCCUGGGCUCUGAUGAUGCCACUUCCACCCCCUGCCCCACCAGCUGCAGGGCUGCUCCAUCUGCAGUCAAGAAUUUUGCAUUUAAUCUUACCCUACCCUUUCGCUCUUCUAACCUUGCACACCCGUGUAACCAUUUCUCCUAGCAAAUGGGGUCUGUUUAAAAUACUUAUUAUUUCCGUUUUCCUGCUCAGAAGCUGGGCUGAUAAAGAUGCGGGUGUCUACUGCCUUGCAGUAUGUACAAAGCCCCUGGAAUCCAGCAGAGGGUUGUUGCAGUUUUUACAAAGAAGGGGAUAUCAUUCUGAAUUCUGUCUCCCUAAACUAAUGAAUUUUAAAGCACCAGACCACAUCAGCACACCUGUAGGGUACUGUACCUACCCAUCAGUAACAUCUGUUCAUCCUGGCAACAUAAGGGCCACGAGGGAGUGUGUGUGGUAGCAAGAGAAGGAAAAACAUAUGGAAAGUCCUCCCAUAUAUUUCAUACUCUUUGAAGAAGCAAUUUCACUUCUAGGCACUUUUUAUAAGGAAGUAAUUGAGAGAUCAACAUCAUAAACUGCUUCUCAAGAGGAACGACUCCAAACCUAUGCAGAUGCUCUUCAAAUUACGAUACGUUACAUCCUGAGAACCCAUUGGUUUUUAUCUAUUACCAUCGUUAUUUGUCGGUUUGGUUUCUGACCUCACUUCCUGGUGCCAUGUCUGCUAGUUCACGCUGUCUCCAGUGUAUCCGCAGCUCUUCGGGCUGUUGGGGAGCGACAUGCACCCACUUCAUGCUGAGGACGCGAAGCUCUGCUGGGGCCACUUGAGAAGGACGUGUGUGGUCAGGUCCUCUUGGAGUUCUCCACCCUCCACUACUGUGCACCGGCUUCUCAGGGAACCUCAAGACCUCGCCUUGAUUAUUUACCUGGUUAGAUUGUCUCACCUGGCCAGGGAAGCCCCUUCAAACUCGUUCUUGUGUUCUUUUGAUAUGUCACCAGUUGCCCAACAAGACAGCGUUCCUGCCCCAGCCCUGGCAUCAGCCAUUUCUCCAAAGACUCUUUGGCUCCAUUUAGUGGAGAACAAUUUCUAGAAAAUUUCUGGGCGCUAGGUGUGCUCAUUGCUAAAGGGGUUUCUUUACUUCUCAGACCUCUCGGGGGAUCAAGCCAUGAAUAUAUGUGUACGGAUAGGAUAUGGAUAUUCAGCUACACAUACAACCACACGCGCAUUUGCUUCUGCUUCUAGCAUGUCUAUGUCAUAUCCAAACAUACAUGUUAAACUGUCCAUUUAUUUAAAACAAUGAGUUUACACAGAUAUCUCCAUUUCCAAUCCAACACCACGGGAUUUAUUCCAGCAUGUCCUCUUUCCAUAUUGUACUCCUUUUCCCAUUAUUUUCAAUUUUCUCUGUGUGUAACCAAAUUCCCGGGCCUUCCCAUGUGAAAUUCAGCCUGAUGAAGGAUAAGGGGGAAGCAAAAAAGGAGGACAAUGGAGCAAAGGAGAAAAGUCCAGUAAGAAAGCCUGGCUUUGGCCACACUACGAUCCCCACUGCCUGGGAUGCGGAAAGAAAUCUCCCACGAGAAAGGAGAAGAGAAGAAAGAAUCCGUCCAGUUAUUGUUGAUGUGAAUUUUUAUCACUUGGUUAAGGUGUGUCCGCCAGAUUUCUUUAAUUGUAAAAGAUACGCUUUUUUCUGGAUAAUUUAUAUAAUAAAUGUGUGGUUGAUUCUUUGAAGGUGAAUAUCCUGUUCCCCAACAAUAUUUUCACUACCCAGUGGUUUGAGCGUCCACUGAUAGUCCUGUCCUGAACACGGCUGUGCUCGUGGUUGGAAGACGGAGAUUUACUGAUUCUAUCAGCCCUUCUACGUUCGUUGUCUGACAUCCUUUUCUGAAGAGUUGUUUCUCUUUCUCCCUUUUUUUCCUUUUUUUUUUUUUUUUUUAGUAUCCUUAUAAACUCAUGGAUCGUUUUUACACCUUGGGUGCGCAAGGAGGGAUCACACACAAAGCCCCACUGGCCACCGGUCCACAGUGGAGCAAGGGAGAGAGGCCAACAAAUAAUUGCAGGAACGAGACACAUUGUAGAACAGAGCAGAGAGGGUGUUAAGAAAAAAACCAAAGUAUCUGUAAACAUUAACUAGAAAGAACAUCAAUUUCCAAAGUUAUUUCCCACCAAAUCUUCUAGGUGGAGAAAACAGCACUUUAUUCGAAGGCUGUAAUGCCCCUGUGUACCGAUAUUGUCAAUAAAGGAGAGAUCUUAGGGGAAUCUUUAAUUUGGCCGUAACAACUGUGACUCUAUUUCUGCCCCGAGUAACACAUUUUGUAGCUUUAUUUGCACUCCAUGAUGUCUUUUAAAAAGAAUGUGUAGGUCGAGACGAGUGUUGUGGCUGUCUGCGAGGGAUGGCUAUAUUUUAUAAGAACAGUCCAAAGGAUUAUCACGUUUGACAUAUUUUCCCCUACAAAUGUCUCUGUCUUGCUGAGAGGCUCAGAAGUUCAUCAUCACCGACCAAGAAACCAACAAAGCUCAGACUCCGAAAUCCACUGGCUUUGUUUCGGUGUUUUUAAACCUCUGUGCUAUUGUAGUUUUGUGUUCAUUUAGCUUUUCACUAGUAAGCUCACAGAUGAAGGGAAAUCUUGCGACCUUCUCACUGCCUGAAACCUCCCUGCAGUCAGGGUGGCCACAGAGGACCGAGGUGAAGACAAGCACUUUGGUCCCGUGUCACCCCGUAAAGGACAGUCACCUUCACUAAAGCUCAGUGUCCUCAUGGGAAAACGUCUGUCUUGCAAAGGUUGCUGGGUUGAUUAAUUGAGGUAACACAUGUUAAGUUGAUUUAUCUUUACCAGCAAUUAAUUAAACGGUGGGCCCUGUUAUUUCCAAAUGGCACAAAACAAAAGGCAGACUUUCAAGCCACGGGUCGGAACAGUGCUUGAUGAUUUUUCCAUUAGAAUUAUUUAUUCAUUAAUUUAUAGUCAGUGUUUUUCUAAAAUAUAACUGAUUCCCUAUCGUACUAUUUGAAACCUCUCUUAAUGAAAUAGAGAGAUUUGUGUACUGUUUUGGCACCGAGGUUGAAUUAUUUCACAUUUAUGUUUGUUUGUUUCCUACUCCCUUUCUCCCCGGUGCUGUGAGGACACAGCACUAGCUCUUGUCUUUUGAUAUUUGUGGUCUAUGUCUCUUCUUAGCUAAAUUCACAUUAUCUAAUUAAAACCCAACUGUUUUUUGAAAA